GCAAGUCGAGGGGUAACAUGGAAGCUUGCUUCCGAUGACGACCGGCGCACGGGUGAGUAACACGUAUCCAACCUACCUAUUACUUGGGGAUAGCCUUUCGAAAGGAAGAUUAAUACCCAAUGGUCUUGCGAAUCUGCAUGGAUUUGUAAGUAAAGAAUUUCGGUAAUGGAUGGGGAUGCGUUUUAUUAGUUUGUAGGUGAGGUAACGGCUCACCUAGACUUCGAUGAAUAGGGGUUCUGAGAGGAAGAUC
rnacentral:rRNA from 1 species